GACGAACGCUGGCGGCGUGCUUAACACAUGCAAGUCGAACGGAAAGGCCCUGCUUUUGUGGGGUGCUCGAGUGGCGAACGGGUGAGUAACACGUGAGUAACCUGCCCUUGACUUUGGGAUAACUUCAGGAAACUGGGGCUAAUACCGGAUAGGAGCUCCUGCUGCAUGGUGGGGGUUGGAAAGUUUCGGCGGUUGGGGAUGGACUAGCGGCUUAUCAGCUUGUUGGUGGGGUAGUGGCUUACCAAGGCUUUGACGGGUAGCCGGCCUGAGAGGGUGACCGGCCACAUUGGGACUGAGAUACGGACCAGACUCCUACGGGAGGCAGCAGUGGGGAAUAUUGCACAAUGGGCGGAAGCCUGAUGCAGCAGCGCCGCGUGCGGGAUGACGGCCUUCGGGUUGUAAACCGCUUUCGCCUGUGACGAAGCGUGAGUGACGGUAAUGGGUAAAGAAGCACCGGCUAACUACGUG
rnacentral:rRNA from 1 species